CCUUAAUGUGUGGUCCCCUGGGCGGGGGAGUGUCUGAGAACACGGAAAUGAGAGCUAGGACCCCAAAGGCAAGCCCUUUGGUCCUCCCCUUCCACCAGUGCCCAGCUCUUUUGGCCCCUUUAAGCUGCUGGUGAGGUCUUUGACUCCUUAAGGACAGAAGCCCGAGUUCCUUCCCCUGCACCCCAAACCUGGAGUCCUGGCACUGUGCUAAGCAGAGGUUACUCACGGGAGUCGUUCCAGACCUGCCUCCGCUGCUUACGAGUUAAGGACCUGGCGCGCGUGAGCUACCCUUCUGAGCCUCGGUUUUCGCAUCUGUCAAAUGGGCAUCCUUAAUAGUCCCUGCUUUGCAGGUGGAUGUGAGGACCAACAAGGCAGCAUGUGGAGAGCCUUGGUUUGGUGUGAUUUCCUUGUGCUGAGCCCUUUCCUGGCUGAGCCUUUGGGACAGCGUUUGGACCCCAGCAGAGAGCCAGGCAAUAUGUGCUCACUAAACCCUGGGACAUCAAGACGAUGGGGGCAGCCCGAAAAUGCCGCCCCUGUGCCACCAGCAAACAGCGCGCACCAGGGAGAGCCUGGCAGGAGGCCAGGCCUUGUUUUCCAAGUGAUUCGUUUCCUGGGGACUUGAGUGUCUAUUCCUGGAGACAGGUGCUCAGAAGGUGGUGGUGAUGAAUGAACGCCCUUCUCCCAGCAAAUGUGACUUCUCUGCAUCCAUUCAUGUGACUCACGUCUUCUUAGAUCUCUCUGGCUUGAAAACUGUCCUACUGCAGCUACAGAGUGGAAAGCGCCCACAUUUUGCGGCCAGAAGACCUGAAUUCCAGACCCGGCCUGUGGUCUAGAUCGCGUCUCUGAGCCAACAGGUCCUCAUGGUCACGUGGGGCUGAUUCCCCUCCCCCAGGCUGGCUCGGAGGAUUAAAGGCGUUUAUCUUGUGCAGGGGACACAGGGCACAGAGAUACCACCCAAAUGGCAGCCACAAGAGGACUCCGCUCAAAGUGCUCUUCCUUGGGGCCCUCCCUAGCACAUGUGUGCAAUUUCCCCUGUAUUGUUCUCUAAUCCUUGAUGGUUACUCUGUAAUUGCUCUCAAAUGGUUUCAUCAUAAUAAAUAGCAUCUGCAGAGCCA
rnacentral:lncRNA from 1 species